AUUGAACGCUGGCGGCAGGCCUAACACAUGCAAGUCGAACGAGUGGCGGACGGGUGAGUAAUGUCUGGGAAACUGCCUGAUGGAGGGGGAUAACUACUGGAAACGGUAGCUAAUACCGCAUACCAUCGGAUGUGCCCAGAUGGGAUUAGCUAGUAGGUGGGGUAACGGCUCACCUAGGCGACGAUCCCUAGCUGGUCUGCGAGGAUGACCAGCCACACUGGAACUGAGACACGGGCCAGACUCCUACGGGAGGCAGCAGUGGGGAAUAUUGCACAAUGGGCGAAAGCCUGAUGCAGCCAUGCCGCGUGGAUGAAGAAGGCCUUCGGGUUGUAAAGUACUUUAAGCGGGGAGGCGUUACCCGCAGAAGAAGCAACGGCUAACUCCGUGCCAGCAGCCGCGGUAAUUC
rnacentral:rRNA from 1 species